GCGGAGGAAAAGAAACCAACAGGGAUUGCCCUAGUAACGGCGAGUGAAGCGGCAACAGCUCAAAUUUGAAAUCUGGCGUCUUCGGCGUCCGAGUUGUAAUUUGCAGAGGGCGCUUUGGCAUUGGCAGCGGUCCAAGUUCCUUGGAACAGGACGUCACAGAGGGUGAGAAUCCCGUACGUGGUCGCUAGCCUUUACCGUGUAAAGCCCCUUCGACGAGUCGAGUUGUUUGGGAAUGCAGCUCUAAAUGGGAGGUAAAUUUCUUCUAAAGCUAAAUACUGGCCAGAGACCGAUAGCGCACAAGUAGAGUGAUCGAAAGAUGAAAAGCACUUUGGAAAGAGAGUUAAAAAGCACGUGAAAUUGUUGAAAGGGAAGCGCUUGCAGCCAGACUUGCCUGUAGUUGCUCAUCCGGGUUUCUACCCGGUGCACUCUUCUAUAGGCAGGCCAGCAUCAGUUUGGGCGGUUGGAUAAAGGUCUCUGUCAUGUACCUCUCUUCGGGGAGAACUUAUAGGGGAGACGACAUGCAACCAGCCUGGACUGAGGUCCGCGCAUCUGCUAGGAUGCUGGCGUAAUGGCUGUAAGCGGCCCGUCUUGAAACACGGACCAAGGAGUCUAACAUCUAUGCGAGUGUUUGGGUGUCAAGCCCGAGCGCGUAAUGAAAGUGAACGGAGGUGGGAACCUUUCGGGGUGCACCAUCGACCGAUCCUGAUGUCUUCGGAUGGAUUUGAGUAAGAGCAUAGCUGUUGGGACCCGAAAGAUGGUGAACUAUGCUUGAAUAGGGUGAAGCCAGAGGAAACUCUGGUGGAGGCUCGCAGCGGUUCUGACGUGCAAAUCGAUCGUCAAAUUUGGGCAU
rnacentral:sRNA from 1 species